AUGUACCACGCGUACACCCCGCUUCCUCCGCGCCGUCCGCCCCCCCCCCUGACGACUGUUCGCUACGUUUUGUUAGCC
rnacentral:sRNA from 1 species